AAAUUGAAGAGUUUGAUCAUGGCUCAGAUUGAACGCUGGCGGCAGGCCUAACACAUGCAAGUCGAGCGGUAGCACAGAGAGCUUGCUCUCGGGUGACGAGCGGCGGACGGGUGAGUAAUGUCUGGGAAACUGCCUGAUGGAGGGGGAUAACUACUGGAAACGGUAGCUAAUACCGCAUAAUGUCGCAAGACCAAAGUGGGGACCUUCGGGCCUCAUGCCAUCAGAUGUGCCCAGAUGGGAUUAGCUAGUAGGUGGGGUAACGGCUCACCUAGGCGACGAUCCCUAGCUGGUCUGAGAGGAUGACCAGCCACACUGGAACUGAGACACGGUCCAGACUCCUACGGGAGGCAGCAGUGGGGAAUAUUGCACAAUGGGCGCAAGCCUGAUGCAGCCAUGCCGCGUGUGUGAAGAAGGCCUUCGGGUUGUAAAGCACUUUCAGCGGGGAGGAAGGCGGUGAGGUUAAUAACCUCAUCGAUUGACGUUACCCGCAGAAGAAGCACCGGCUAACUCCGUGCCAGCAGCCGCGGUAAUACGGAGGGUGCAAGCGUUAAUCGGAAUUACUGGGCGUAAAGCGCACGCAGGCGGUCUGUCAAGUCGGAUGUGAAAUCCCCGGGCUCAACCUGGGAACUGCAUUCGAAACUGGCAGGCUAGAGUCUUGUAGAGGGGGUAGAAUUCCAGGUGUAGCGGUGAAAUGCGUAGAGAUCUGGAGGAAUACCGGUGGCGAAGGCGGCCCCUGGACAAAGACUGACGCUCAGGUGCGAAAGCGUGGGGAGCAAACAGGAUUAGAUACCCUGGUAGUCCACGCCGUAAACGAUGUUGAUUUGGAGGUUGUGCCCUUGAGGCGUGGCUUCCGGAGCUAACGCGUUAAAUCGACCGCCUGGGGAGUACGGCCGCAAGGUUAAAACUCAAAUGAAUUGACGGGGGCCCGCACAAGCGGUGGAGCAUGUGGUUUAAUUCGAUGCAACGCGAAGAACCUUACCUGGUCUUGACAUCCACAGAACUUUCCAGAGAUGGAUUGGUGCCUUCGGGAACUGUGAGACAGGUGCUGCAUGGCUGUCGUCAGCUCGUGUUGUGAAAUGUUGGGUUAAGUCCCGCAACGAGCGCAACCCUUAUCCUUUGUUGCCAGCGGUUCGGCCGGGAACUCAAAGGAGACUGCCAGUGAUAAACUGGAGGAAGGUGGGGAUGACGUCAAGUCAUCAUGGCCCUUACGACCAGGGCUACACACGUGCUACAAUGGCAUAUACAAAGAGAAGCGACCUCGCGAGAGCAAGCGGACCUCAUAAAGUAUGUCGUAGUCCGGAUUGGAGUCUGCAACUCGACUCCAUGAAGUCGGAAUCGCUAGUAAUCGUAGAUCAGAAUGCUACGGUGAAUACGUUCCCGGGCCUUGUACACACCGCCCGUCACACCAUGGGAGUGGGUUGCAAAAGAAGUAGGUAGCUUAACCUUCGGGAGGGCGCUUACCACUUUGUGAUUCAUGACUGGGGUGAAGUCGUAACAAGGUAACCGUAGGGGAACCUGCGGUUGGAUCACCUCCUUA
rnacentral:rRNA from 1 species